rnacentral:rRNA from 1 species
AUUGAACGCUGGCGGCAGGCCUAACACAUGCAAGUCGAACGAGUGGCGGACGGGUGAGUAAUGUCUGGGAAACUGCCCGAUGGAGGGGGAUAACUACUGGAAACGGUAGCUAAUACCGCAUACCAUCGGAUGUGCCCAGAUGGGAGUAGCUUGUAGGUGAGGUAACGGCUCACCUAGGUGACGAUCCCUAGCUGGUCUGAGAGGAUGACCAGCCAGACGGGAACUGAGACACGGUCCAGACUCCUACGGGAGGCAGCAGUGGGGAAUAGUGCACAAUGGGCGCAAGCCUGAGACAGCUAUGACGCGUGUAUGAAGAAGGACGUCGGGUUGUAAAGUACUUUCAGCGGGGAGGCGGGACCCGAAGAAGAAGCACCGGCUAACUCCGUGCCAGCAGCCGCGGUAAUAC